rnacentral:rRNA from 1 species
AMUUAAAUUGAAGAGUUUGAUCAUGGCUCAGAUUGAACGCUGGCGGCAGGCCUAACACAUGCAAGUCGAGCGGAAACGGCAGUAUUGAAGCUUCGGUGGA